rnacentral:rRNA from 1 species
UCGGGUAAUGCCGGGCACUCUGGAAGGACUGCCAUCGACAAGAUGGAGGAAGGUGGGGAGUGACGUCAAGUCAUCAUGGCCCUUAUGUCCAGGGCGGACACACGUGCUACAAUGGCCGGCACAACGGGAAGCGAGUUCGCGAGGACAAGCGGAUCCCUUAAAGCCGGUCGCAGUUCGGAUUGAAGUCUGCAACUCGACUUCAUGAAGCUGGAAUCGCUAGUAAUCGUGGAUCAGCCAAGCCGCGGUGAAUACGUUCCCGGGCCUU